rnacentral:rRNA from 1 species
GAUGAACGCUAGCGAUAGGCUUAACACAUGCAAGUCGAGGGGCAGCAUGAUCUUAGCUUGCUAAGGUUGAUGGCGACCGGCGCACGGGUGCGUAACGCGUAUGCAACUUGCCUUACAGAGGGGGAUAACCCGUUGAAAGACGGACUAAAACCGCAUACACUUGUAUUAUUGCAUGAUAUUACAAGGAAAUAUUUAUAGCUGUAAGAUAGGCAUGCGUCCCAUUAGCUGGUUGGUGAGGUAACGGCUCACCAAGGCGACGAUGGGUAGGGGAACUGAGAGGUUUAUCCCCCACACUGGUACUGAGACACGGACCAGACUCCUACGGGAGGCAGCAGUGAGGAAUAUUGGUCAAUGGGCGAGAGCCUGAACCAGCCAAGUCGCGUGAAGGAAGACAGUCCUAAGGAUUGUAAACUUCUUUUAUACGGGAAUAACGGGCGAUACGAGUAUUGCAUUGAAUGUACCGUAAGAAUAAGCAUCGGCU